AUUGCUUCUUGGCCUUUUGGCUAAGAUCAAGUGUAGUAUCUGUUCUUAUCAGUUUAAUAUCUGAUACAUCCUCUAUCCAAGGACAAUAUAUUAAAUGGAUUUUGUAGCUCAGAGUUGGAAUAGGAGCUUUCUCCAUCCACUCCACUCAUCAACCUGGUAUUGCCGUACCUCUAGGAAUGGUGCACAAUGU
rnacentral:snRNA from 1 species